CUCAUUUAAAUGAGGAGGUGUGGAAAGCAGCGAGCGCCCGAUGGCUGGGAUGUUGAUGGCUGUCAUUAGUCUGUAGCAGGAUGCCGGCGGGGGGGUGUGUUAGUGCUCAGAAAACCUGGCAGGUCAUCCUGAGGCCCCCCCCCCCUUUUAGAUUUGGCACUUCGGAAAACUUUGAACCUCAACCGCUGUGGCUGACCCUGAUCCAAGAGCCUCGGUCCAGCUCCCCUAAUCACGCCACUGGUUUACUCUAGUUUGUGUGUGUGUGGGUGUGUGUGUGUG